UGAAAUGCCUUGGCAAGAACAUCAUCUGAUAUUGGUGGGUCUGACCCAAACACUGCAUUGGCAAUUGUGAUAGCCCCUGGGUUCUGGCUACUUAGCGCGGCAAUUGCAACAGCGGGCUGGUGGGGGUUGUGGUUGAAUUGGAAGUGGAUGAGCCCCACGGGGAAGACAAACACAUCACCUUUGUUGAGCACCUUGGAGAAGAACUUGUUUUUGUUGGGGGCGGGCUGGUUGGAUGUCACAAAGCCAACGUACAGUGUUCCCUCGAGCACCGUGAGGAUCUCAGUGGCGCGAGGGUGCAUAUGUGGUGGGUUUUGACCCAAUGGAGCAUAGUCGAUGCGUGCAAUUGAGAUGCCGAGGGUGUUGAGUCCAGCAAUCUGCAUGACGUUGAUCAAAGUGACGUUGGAUCCAACCUUGUUGGGCAUCCUAGGCUUGUCGAGGUUGGCCGCCUUGAAGAAGUCGUCUGCUUUGACGUCCAUCGGGUCCUUGCAAACAAACCCGUUGACACGGACUGGGGCACAAGAGACGUACAUGUAAGCUCAGAUUUUACAAAGUUGAUUUGACUUGCAUAUAAUUUCCAGAAAUAGAUUUCAACAUAUGUAUUUGGUGAAAACAUGAUGACAAACAGAUAGUACCUGGUGAAUUCAUGUCGGCGACACAAAAGUCCUGGAGUGGGCUAGGAUCAGAAGCAGUGGCCUGCCUUGAGACCAGCGCAAGAAGUGCACCAAGGAGAAGGAAGGAAGAGGAGGAUGCCAUUUCGUUUUAGUGUCUUUGGCUCUUCCUUUCUCUCGUCUUCCUAUUUCUGUUUGUGGCGUGAGUGGUGAUGGUUUGAACAUGCAGGGGAUACAUGUGUUUAUAUAGGCGCAGAACUCGUGAGCAAUAGACAUAGUCAAGUGCAACCGAUUGAAGUGGUCUCUGGGUGCUGAUUAAACUAUAACUUUACAAGUUCCCUGUAAGACACGUUUUCACUUCGAAGAAGCAAUAUAAGGAAACACUCUCUAAUUAUGAAUGUUUCUCCAUCUCACCGAGUCGCCACAAUGCAUGCAGGGCUGGUUCCAGGAAAAGUCACCACCCAUCACUAUCAAGGAAAAUAUUUUUUAGAUAGGAAACACCGGCAAGAGAAAUAAAUGAAUUCCACUAGUGUAAUUAGAUACAGUAUCAUAUACUUCGUCAUAGUCUGAACUGAUGGCCUGAUGCGCAUGCACGAAAGUUAGUAAAAGAGCAGUUGAGGAAAGCCAUCAAUCGUUUUCUAGCUCAAGGUCAUACUAUGUCACCUAUUCGUGCGUGGGCUUGAUUCAUAUGGGUGCAUGAAUGACUUCUAAUGACAUAUAGAGUGACUCCUACUCCUGUUCUUUCCAGAAGUCGAUAUAGAAUAAUGUUUGCAAUUGAGCUUUUCAAACUAUGAAAUUAUAUAUUUGCCUAUAGAUUUGUCACGAAAUCCAGCAACAUAAGACGACGCGGCAGAUUGUGUGUGAACAAGGGAGAAACCGAGGCGCGUCGAUCCACACAUGAAUCCACCUAAUACAUCUGCUAUAUGUAGCAGCCCCUGUACGUUAUCAUCACGUCAAUCUGAUAUUUACUUGGUCAGAUGUCUCUCGAAGUACUUGAGUAUUUUCAGGAAGAAGCGGCGGCAUUAGUGGACCAAGUGCCCAACCAAAAGGAGAGCUGCCACAGAAGCCAUGAUGAUGGAGAGCAGGAAAUUUUCAUAUGAUCUUAGCAAGUCUAGUUAACAUCUUGCCAGGAGUUUUAUCAACCUGCUCUAUACAGAAGUUAUUAUAAAAUAUAUGCAAUCUAUCUUUUCAAACUAUGAUCACUAAUAUAAACAAAAUAUAUAUUUUUCAACAGAUUUGUCAUGAAAUCCAGCAACAUAAGACAACGCGGUAGCUAGCGGAUUGUGCCGACAAGGAAGACAUCGAGGUGCGUCGAUCCAUGCACGAAUCCACCUAAUACAAUUGAUAUAUGUAGCAGCCCCUGUUAUCAUCACGGUAGUCAGAUAUGUAUCUACUUGGGCAAAUUUCUCUCGCAGCAGGUGAGUAUUUGUAGGAAGAGGCGACGACAUUAAUUGGACCUGCCUAACCAAAAGGAGAGAUAUGACGACCUUAGUAAGAGUAGUUAGCAUCCUCGUGCUAGAAGUUUUAUCAUGACCAGUUCAGUGCAUAAAUCUAACAAUCUCGGUUGGCUUUCCUAGCUAGGUUCAUGACACCAAACCUCACCUGCCCCCUUUUGUUAGAGUAAACAGUGCAUCCAGUUACUAGGCUGGGUGGCCACACAUAAACUGAUUAAUUUGUCAGAGGUGCGAGUUGGUAGGUUUGUGAAUGAAAAGAUCAAGAUAUGUCCACCAGACAAAUAAAAUGCUUCUAUCACAAGCUUGUUACAAAGAACUAACUCAGAUAAUAUUUUUUUCUCAUAUAUUUAUGCAUAUUGUCUAUAUAUGUCGGAGCUGGUUUCUGGAAACUGGUUUGGUGUGCCUAGUUUCUGAAAUGUAGAAAAAAAAUCAUUUUUCUAGUUCUAAAUUUAAGAAGAAAAAAUAACUAUCAUAAGUUUUUUUAGAGAAUGAGCAUCCUCAUCAAUUUCCAUUAAACAAACGGCUAAUCAAGUUUAGAAGAGUUUGGAACCAAAAAGAAGCUAAAACAAGACAUGCAGGAAAAUAGGCUAUUUGCUAACCAAAAGAACAGGUUCACAGCGGGGGAACAAUAAACUAAGUCUCACAUGCACCAGAAAGGGAGAGACCACAAGAACAACUCUACUAAGAAACUUUUUCACAUUCAACUUUUCACACUGCAAUCCUGAGCACAAUCGGGUUCCAACCAUGGCCUCAAGCAUACUCCUCCCGAAUCACCAGAUUGAUCUUUAAGACCCCUUCUUCAACUCUUCCUCCGUCUCGUCGUUUCUGCAAAAUGCUCCAACUAUUAGGCUCUAGAAUAGAACAACAUGAUCAUCUAGGAUUUUUUAAAUUAAAGCAAGCAGAGUUCCUAGUUUCCAUAUAGUCCAAUGAAUUGUUGUCUGCCCCAUAGAUAACCAAUUUCCACUGAGACACGGGAAAAGAGUUAAUCCACACACUAGACAAUGGCGCCGGCAAUAACAACGGCGACGACAUGAUCAAUGGGGACGUCGAUGACCCCAACGAUGAAGAAUAUAAUUUGGAGGACAAGGAGGAAGGAAGCCUCCGCCCCCGAUGAGUAUGACGCUUUCGAGCAACCCCUUGAGGUACCCCAACUCAAAACUCUGUGCAAGCGGUUGGCUAGUACGACCAAAAGCAUCAAAAAGAAGUCCCAACGUCUCAAGACCGAAGAAGAUGAGCUAAACGACAUAUGGACCGAGCUCCUUAGGGCCGAGAGGAGGCCCAAGGGCAAGCUCGAACAGAUUGGUGCUAACAGAUCUUACCCCACAGAAACUUGCUGGACUAGUUGGACGCGGAGGCCGAGGACAGCGCGCUUUCAAAACGUGACUGGCUUGAAACCCUCGACCGUCCUCCCCGGGAUAGAGAUUGACAGAUAGGCACAGACAAAUAUGCCAUCGAGGCGCAUGGAGCCCGAGGUGGAGUCAACCCACCAGGGAUCACCACGAGAUACAAACCCAUGGAGAAGAGGCCCUUAAGCUCGGAAAACCCACAUCGAUCAAUCUAUUAGUCUAGGCAACGCCCACCUGCUGGACAAACAUGAUAUUUGGUGUAGCUAGCAAAGAACGGUGAUGUGCGUGACUACAAUUGCGACCGCAUAGUAACCAUGUCGGACGAACGCCACACGACUGCAAGUGUCUGAGGAGGUACACACCCUCGAUGCUUUACAGAUGAGAUCAUGCAACACCAGUUCCGUGCUAAUCCCAUAGGACCUAUUGGAUUUCCCCGAAGAGGAAGGGUGAUGUAGCACAACAGUAAAAUGUAUUUCCCUCAGUUAAGAAUCAACGUUUAUCGAACCAAUAGGAGUCCACAAGCUAGCAAGAUAAGCAGCACCCGCACGCAAAAAAAAAAAUGCUUGCACCCAACUUGGCAAGGGGUUGUCAAUCCCUUCGUCUUGCUAGUUACAAGGUUAAAAGCAAAUAGUGAUAGGCAAUGAUAUGUCAAAUGGCAAAUUAGUAAAGAGAGCAAUAAAGCAAUACAAAUAAUAAUAGAGAAUGGACCUGGGGCAAUAGGUUCACUAGUGACUUCUCUCUCGAAAGCAGGUAAUGGCAUAGUAAACACAUUAUUGUUGGGCAAUUGACAACUUCUUCCGGAUGAAAACUUGAUCUACAUGUUCGAGCGGUGGCGGCUAUCAGUGCUCGUACCCCUCUAGAAGACACCCUUUUUGAGUCCUAGCUUCAUUGUUGUUCGUCUCACCUCUUCGUUGUGGUUCAUGGUGAAGGUCUCCAUCGACGCCAAACGGUGUUCUUCGCAUAUCUGUAGUUAGCCUGGUAGCCGGUGGGGUGGUGUGUCAGUGGCCGACACCUUGUAUCUUGUCUUGCAUGUGUAUUGUGUCUGGUGAUGGUGUGUGUUUAUAUCGGUCUACUCGGUUGUAAUGCGGUGAUGGAUUCUUUAUAAUAUAAAGGAUGGAACUCCUUUUUCAUCAUAUCCAAUGGCUGACAUUAUAGUACCGCACAUGUAUUGCACACAAGCACUAUAUAUGUAGAAUUUCCCGAUGUGUUCAAUCAAACCAGCAAACUUAUAUUAAAUUACUAGAUAAUCGACUAUUGUAUCGGAGAAGGGAAAACAACCCCGAUUUUUCGUUUGUUAUGGGAAAUACGACGCAUAAUAUGCAAAAUAGCAUACAACAUUAUAUCAGAGUGAUGAAAAAAGAUAUUGUUGAUUAUUCAUAACAUUGAAAUACAUUCAUGGCUUACAGACAUACAAUGGCAUGACAUAUUCUCUAUUUAUUUUAUAGAUAAGGAUGCUUCAGAAGUUCAACCAAAUCCUUGGUUUAUGUACUAAUCUUCCGUGUAAUCAACAAAUGUCUGACUUAGUUGUGAUUGUUCUCCCAAAACUGAGCCUGGAGAUAGUCUAUUGUAUUCUUUUCCACCUGAAAUGCCUUGGCAAGAACAUCAUCUGAUAUUGGUGGGUCUGACCCAAACACUGCAUUGGCAAUUGUGAUAGCCCCUGGGUUCUGGCUGCUUAGCGCGGCAAUUGCAACAGCGGGCUGGUGGGGGUUGGGGUUGAAUUGGAAGUGGAUGAGCCCCACGGGGAAAACAAACACAUCACCUUUGUUGAGCACCUUGGAGAGGAACUUGUUUUUGUUGGGGGCGGGCUGGUUGGAUGUCACAAAGCCAACGUACAAUGUUCCCUCGAGCACCGUGAGGAUCUCAGUGGCGCGAGGGUGCGUAUGUGGUGGGUUUUGACCCAAGGGAGCAUAGUCGAUGCGUGCAAUUGAGAUGCCGAGGGUGUUGAGUCCUGCAAUCUGCAUGACGUUGAUCAAAGUGACGUUGGAUCCAACCUUGUUGGGCAUCCUAGGCUUGUCGAGGUUGGCCGCCUUGAAGAAGUCGUCCGCGUUGACCUCCAUCGGGUUCUUGCAAACAAACCCGUUGACACGGACUGGGGCACAAGAGAUGUACAUGUAAGCUCAGAUUUUACAAAGUUGUUUUGGCUUGCAUAUAAUUUCCAGAAAUAGAUUUCAACAUAUGUAUUUGGUGAAAACAUGAUAACAAAAUGGAUAGUAC
rnacentral:lncRNA from 1 species